UGUACGUUUCACUAUCCGUUUUAUAUAAAACUUUUUUAUAAUUAAUAUUUUUAUUAUUGUUAGAUGAUAAAAUAUGAUUAAUACUUUAUGUCUGACUUGUCUUUUUAAUUUUUUUCAUAUUUUUUUCAAAUAAGACGGACGGUCAAACGUGGGAUACGGAAACCCA
rfam:Oryza nivara chromosome 1, whole genome shotgun sequence.